UACAGAGGUCCCGAGCGUUGUUCGGAUUCAUUGGGCGUAAAGGGUGUGUAGGAGGUUGGGUAAGUCGGAUGUGAAAUCUCACCGCUUAACGGUGAAACUGCAUUCGAUACUGCUUGGCUAGAGGAUCGGAGGGGGUAUCGGAAUUCAUGGUGUAGCAGUGAAAUGCGUAGAUAUCAUGAGGAACACCGGUGGCGAAAGCGGAUACCUGGAAGAUCCCUGACUCUGAAACACGAAAGCUAGGGGAGCAAACGGG
rnacentral:rRNA from 1 species